AGUGCUUUCUUUGGGCCAGCCACUGUUCUAGAUGCUGGUGACAGUACAGGAAAAGAAACAGAUAAAAACCUUGCUUUUAUGGUAUUUUUGCCCUAUUGGGAAGAUAUAUGUGAUAAGUGCUUUGAAGGACAAUACAGCUGUGUGUGUAAAGGGGCACGGUGCUACACAGAGUGCUUGGGGAGGUCUCUCAGCUGAAGUGACACUUGAGUAAAGCUAGGAAUGAGCCCUGUAGACAUACGGGGAUAGAGUUCAGGGCAGAGUAAAUAGCAUGAGACUCUGGAAUGCUCGGUAUGUUCACAGAAUAGCAAUAAUAAACACAAACAAAACAGUAAACCUGAAAUCAUAGAGGCAUUAGCAGUAGGACAUGAGGCUAGAAGCUCUAUUGUUUAGUAGUGGCUUUUAAACUUGUUUUCAGCCUCUGAACAGGAGGAUAUUGCCUUGACUUCCCUGAUUCUUAAAUUACAGGGGCUUCAGAUUGGUCUCAAGUGCUGAUUAAUAGUCCCCGGGUCCUAGGACUUAGAAUUCCACUCCUUCCCAAUUUUUCUUACUUGGUUGUAAUAGCAGAAAGUUUCUGAGGCUGAAAAGUCAGUAGGAAUCUGAAUGAGAGCUUUUGCUUGCUUUCUGCCCCAAAGGUGUCAUUUUGGAUCUCACCGGGUAUAAAUGGGAGUGGAUUUAUGGGAUUUGUAGCUUAUUUAAAGGAAAAUAGGGUGUUGCAUAGAAAACGCACCACAUUCUAGCAUUGUGCAGUUUUUUUAGCUUCACUAUAGUCUAUUCUGUGGCUGAGCCUUUUUAAACUAUGACAUAUUUUAUCUCCUACUCCACCCAAAUUACAUUCCAGCUGUUGACUUUGUGCUUUCAAAAAUAAGCUGGCCUUUCUUCUCCUUCUUCUCCUUCUCCUUCAACUAAAUUUAAGUGUGGAUACACAGGGUGGGGAAGAGAAUUAAAGAACUUUAAAAUAUAUGAAAAGCCACCCAGUUUUUUCUCACCCAGUUGCUGGUGGGAAUGUAGUCAUUUUGGAAAGCAAUCUGGUAGCACUUGGUGAAGUUAAGUUAGCAUAUGCUCCACGGCUACUCACUCAGGCCUAGGUACACCUUAUUGAAAAUUCUAACAAAGGUGAAAGAAUAUGUUUGAGAGUUAUGUUUCUCAUCUAUAUAUUCUCUUGGUGUUGGGAGUGAUAUUUGAGAGUUAGAGGCAACAAGACGGUACAUAAUUAGGGAACUGAGGAGAUAACGUGGGGAAGGUGUUUGCUUACAAGGGCCCAUCAAGGCAACAAGCUAGAUAUGAAUAGAGCAAUACAGACAUCAGAGCUUG
rnacentral:lncRNA from 1 species